UUGAGGUUCACCUGAGGAAAUAACUCUGGAUUCGGCUACUAGUGCAAUUUACAACUUUUAGUACCUAAUGAUUUAAAUAAGGGCUAUUCAAGUGUUCGUACUGGGAAGUUGAUUCAC